rnacentral:rRNA from 1 species
CCUACGGGAGGCAGCAGUAGGGAAUAUUGCUCAAUGGGGGAAACCCUGAAGCAGCAACGCCGCGUGGAGGAUGAAGGUUCUCGGAGUGUAAACUCCUUUUGUUAGAGAAGAUAAUGACGGUAUCUAACGAAUAAGCACCGGCUAACUCCGUGCCAGCAGCCGCGGUAAUACGGAGGGAGCAAGCGUUAUUCGGAAUCACUGGGCGUAAAGGGCGCGUAGGCGGGAUAGCAAGGCAGGUGUGAAAUCCUAUGGCUUAACCAUAGAACUGCAUUUGAAACUGUUAUUCGUGAGUAUGGGAGAGGUAGGUGGAAUUCGUGGUGUAGGGGUAAAAUCCGUAGAGAUCAAGAGGAAUACUCAUUGCGAAGGCGACCUACUAGAACAUAACUGACGCUGAUGCGCGAAAGCGUGGGGAGCAAACAGGAUUAGAUACCCUGGUAGUC